AGAGUUUGAUCCUGGCUCAGGAUGAACGCUAGCUACAGGCUUAACACAUGCAAGUCGAGGGGGAAACGACAUCGAAAGCUUGCUUUUGAUGGGCGUCGACCGGCGCACGGGUGAGUAACGCGUAUCCAACCUGCCCACCACUUGGGGAUAACCUUGCGAAAGUAAGACUAAUACCCAAUGAUAUCUCUAGAAGACAUCUGAAAGAGAUUAAAAGAUUUAUCGGUGAUGGAUGGGGAUGCGUCUGAUUAGCUUGUUGGCGGGGUAACGGCCCACCAAGGCAACGAUCAGUAGGGGUUCUGAGAGGAAGGUCCCCCACAUUGGAACUGAGACACGGUCCAAACUCCUACGGGAGGCAGAA
rnacentral:rRNA from 1 species